rnacentral:rRNA from 1 species
GACGAACGCUGGCGGCGUGCUUAACACAUGCCAGUCGAACGGAAAGGCCCUGCUUUUGUGGGGUGCUCGAGUGGCGAACGGGUGAGUAACACGUGAGUAACCUGCCCUUGACUUUGGGAUAACUUCAGGAAACUGGGGCUACUACCGGAUAGGAGCUCCUGCUGCAUGGUGGGGGUUGGGUAGUUUCGGCGGUUGGGGAUGGACUCGCGGCUUAUCAGCUUGUUGGUGGGGUAGUGGCUUACCAAGGCUGUGACGGGUAGCCGGCCUGAGAGGGUGACCGGCCACAUUGGGACUGAGAUACGGCCCAGACUCCUACGGGAGGCAGCAGUGGGGAAUAUUGCACAAUGGGCGGAAGCCUGAUGCAGCAACGCCGCGUGCGGGAUGACGGCCUUCGGGUUGUAAACCGCUUUCGCCUGUGACGAAGCGUGAGUGACGGUAAUGGGUAAAGAAGCACCGGCUAACUACGUG